rnacentral:sRNA from 1 species
GCCAGGUGGGGUGGAGCAUGCCUGUAAUCCCAGUAGCUCAGGAGGCUGAGGCAGGAGGAUCACAAGUUCGAGGCCAGCAGUACCUUAGUUACACUCUGUCUCAA